GGCUGGGACAGACGCUCAUCAAAGGUGUUCCACACGACAUGGGCAUUCUCGUUCUGCAUCAAGCCUCAAGGUGCCUCAGCCAAACGGCAGUGAGAAAUAAGGGUUGGAAUAAAAGAAGAGGACUGAGGGGAAAAUCCAUUUACCACAAUUUUAUCACUGUGGACCAUCGCGAAUGCGUAGUGUAAUAUACCUAUUAACUUAGCAGCCCAGCACACUCAAGAGAUCUUGGAAACUGGACCCCAGAUCAGUAGAUGCAGACAUGCACAUGCAGACGAAACACCAGCGCCAUGCAUGGGGCCCAAUCUCACCAUGGAAAUGCCAAAGCACACAGCUCAAGCCAUGCUGCCAUCCACAUGACGUGCGGCCAGGCUCGUUGCUGUCGGCGGUUCUGAAGACAGCGGUUCGAUCCAGCUGAAGGACGUCACCUGGCAGGAAGUUGCAGUGUGGUGGCCAGUAUCAAGCCACAUUGUCCAGAAACCAUCACAUUAUCUCCAGGUCACUAGUCGCCGGUGCUCGAGCUGACGGCGUCGUUCAAGGGCUCCACGGUGACAAGCGCCGUCACCGCUGCCGCCGCCGCCGAGACCAUCCGACUCCUGGGCCCUGUUUCACGGCAGCGUACUGCAGCGCGCUACGCAGCGCUGCUGUGUUAGUGCGGCGAUUGAGACGAAUUCGGCUCGACGCUCCAGCGUUGCGAAACACCCGUGUCUAUGAAGGAUACGCCGAUACGUCCCCCAGCUUCAAGCCCUUCCCGCCCC